AUAUAUCCUCAUUUUGAUGGUACUCAAUCAUGUGCAGAGGGCAAUAGCAGGUUGUGCGUCUCUGUCAGAGACUACUACUGUUACAUGCUGCAGACACGGCCUGCGAUCUUCAAUCCCAUACUCUGUGGAGCACACCUGCUGCGACAAUGGGCGGUCGACAUGUACGUCAAGAUUGAAAGUUGUCGGUUGAGGUGGUACAGGAAGACCCAGACGCAGAUUCGUGCCGUGUCAAGCUUACGAACAAAAGUUUUCUUAUUACAUUCUUUUGCUAUAUACAAAUCAUGUUGGAACACUCUGGUACACAGCAAUAUAAGAUAG
rnacentral:rRNA from 1 species